rnacentral:rRNA from 1 species
UACGUAGGGUGCAAGCGUUGUCCGGAAUUAUUGGGCGUAAAGAGCUCGUAGGCGGUUUGUCGCGUCGGCUGUGAAAACCUGGGGCUCAACCCCGGGCCUGCAGCCGAUACGGGCAAACUAGAAUUCGGUAGGGGAGUCCGGAAUUCCUGGUGUAGCGGUGAAAUGCGCAGAUAUCAGGAGGAACACCGGUGGCGAAGGCGGGACUCUGGGCCGAUAUUGACGCUGAGGAGCGAAAGCGUGGGGAGCAAACAGG